rnacentral:rRNA from 1 species
CCGCAAUGGGCGAAAGCCUGACGGAGCAAUACCGCGUGAGGGACGAAGGCCUGUGGGUUGUAAACCUCUUUUCUCAGGGAAGAAGAUCUGACGGUACCUGAGGAAUCAGCAUCGGCUAACUCCGUGCCAGCAGCCGCGGUAAGACGGAGGAUGCAAGCGUUAUCCGGAAUGAUUGGGCGUAAAGCGUCCGCAGGCGGUCCCGUAAGUCUGUGGGCAAAGCGCGGA